GCAACACCACUUUAAAAAACUUGAAAGCAGGUUGAAUAGAGCUGACGAUGAAAAUCUUGCUUGAUCGGUUGCCUGCGAACGUAAACGGAAAACUGUCCUCGACAGGCUUUAAUAGGAGCCAACUAUACCAAAUGAACUCUACUAAUUAUUGGAAAAGAUGGCAUUCUUAAUAAGUGUCUCUUUGUGAAAGGAAGAAUGUAUGUUCAGCAUUUAAAGAACAUUCUUUUAGAAGAAUUUGUGAGACUGAAAUCAGAGAUCUCUGCAUGAUCCAAGACUGAAAAAUCUUCCUAAGACCUAAUGAUAUUAAAAUUGCACAUUCUCUGCAUGCUUUGAGGCUGAAAAAUACAAAAAUGAUUGUGCUUUUGAUUAUGACUCAGGGAAUUUUUAGUAUAUUCUUAAUAUUGGAACAGAGGUAAGUAAUAAAAGAAAUUUUGCCUGAAAGGUUAGAUGGUAUCUUGCAUUAAAUGUGCCAUUUCUCUAUAUUUUGUUAAACGAAAAGAGUGUAUACACAUUCCUGCUGUAUUAAAUUUAAAUAUCUUUCUUCAUUCUGUCAUAUUUCAUAGGCUACACAUAAAUUAUUUCUUUUAUACUCACUUUGAAUGAAAUUAGUGAAUUAUAUUUUAAAAUAUAUCAAAAUAAUUAUAUUCAGAAAUUACUAAUAUCUUUUGUUUCUUAUUUGGCACAUAAUUAAUUUUUUGUAGUUUGAUAGUAAUAGUUUCUAUUAAAUAUAUUUUUAUGAAAUUCAAAUUAAAAUAUAGCACAUUUAAUGGAUUCCCUUUAUGAUAAUAAAGUUCUGGUAUUCAUUUUAUGAUGAGAGAUUGUGUGCAAAUUAAACUUCUUUUUGUUGAUAUUCUUUCAAAGUAAAUAAAUACCUUGUUGUAAUCACCAUUAUAGAGAUGCAAAUGAGGAUUAAAAGCCUACAUAGAAUCUUUCAAUGUAGCUUUCAUUAAUUAUAUUCUUCUUCCAUGUUCUUUUAAAGCCUAAAUAUGGCUUAUAACUAGUAGGCAAUAAAUUUUGGAAUGCUGUGUAUGGUAUUUUAUAAUUUUGUGUGUAUUUGCAUUAAGCAUUCAAGAUCAAAAAAUUAAGAAAGGAAAAGUCAGAUUUGAAUUUGUUGAAAUCAGUGCAUUUUUGUUAAUUAUCUGUCAUAUGCAUUUAUUAAAGGAUUGUUAGAAUUGAAAUUAUUUCUCUUUCUCUCUCUCUAAUAUAUAUAUAUAAUAUUCCUUAUACGAUAAAUAUUUUUACAUUAAUCAAUUCUUCAAGAGUGUGAUUUAAUAUUUCUAAACAGCAUGCUUGGAACACUAAGCAACUAAUCUAAAUAUUUAAUAAUGUAGAAUUUUUGUGAUUCUUGUUCAUAGUAUUGAUUUCAAGUAACUAUCUUAUUGAAUCCAGGUUGAUUUUAAAAAUACUGUAUUUUAAAUGUUUCAUAUUUAUCUCAUAUUCAGACUUUGCAGAUAUUAUUGUCAUUUUUAAGUUGAAGAGAAAUGUCAUUUAUUAAACCCUAAUUAUCUUUCAUAAAAAGUAGCUAAGCAUUGAGAAAAUUGGUUUCAUAAUUUAUUGCUCUGUUUGUUUCAGUAUUAUUUUUCUUUAGUAAGAAACUCCUGCAUGCUUGAAUAUUUGUAAAUAAGGUUUGGCUUCUUAAUAAUUUGCAGAAUUCCUUGUUUUCAGUAUUCAUAUUAUUUACUUUUUCAGUCAUUCGAAUUUGGUGGGCUAAACAUGUAAUGUUUGAUUGCAAGUAUGUAUGAAGAAUCGUUUACAUCGUUUCAUUUUUCCCUUCUUAAAAUAUGAAAUUUUGUAGGCAUGCCUCUGAUUAUUAAUGUGCGAUUAUUUUGAUGAAUUAUAAAUCAGACAGAAUAAAAAAAAAUAUAUAGAAGUAUUUUAUUUUUUUUAAUUUCAAAAUAUUUAUGCAUGUUAAGACAUUGUUAUUACAAGAAUAAUUACUUAUUUAGAAAUGAAGAUACUUUAUAAAAUUGUUCAUCUCCCAUUGCUGAUCCAAGAUGGGAAAAAAAUAUGAGACAGUAUUAACUGUAGAGCAGCUUUAUAUUUUUGAUCUAAUGGCAUUGCGGAAAAAUGAUCGAAAAUUAAAGUGUUUUAGAAAGUGCAUAGAUAAAUUGCAGUUCCAGUGUGAUUGGUAUUAUAGUUCACUAAUCUACUAUUUUCUUUUUUUAGCCGUACAAAGCUUAAGAAGAAAAUAAUGUAUUGAUGAUUAGUUUCCUUCAAAAAACAUGUUGAGCUUAAAAAAAUCAUCUUCAUUGCCUUUUUUAUAUAUAGUAUCAUUGCACUACUCAUUCUUUGGUGGAGUAAAAAUUAGUUUUCAUUGAAAAAAAUUUUCUGACAUGGAGAAUUUGUAUUUUUAAAAGUCUACAUGAUAAAUUUGAUAGCACUUUUGAUAAAUACAUAGAAAAUUCAUUUGACAUGAAUGGUGAAUAAUUUAAUAUUUUUUACAUAUAGGCUUAAUAUGUUUACAGCUUUUAAAAUUAGAAAAGCAUAAUAUCAUUGUUAACAUGUAAAACAUUUCUCAAACAUGAAUCGGAAAGAAACUUUUCAUGUAUAUAUUGCUUAUGUUUUUUAAUUUAACUCUUUGCACUCCUAUAUCAAGUGUAACUUGCCAUAUUCUGAAAAAUACACCAUUUUCAUUUCUUGUUAGGUAAUGAUUAAUAUAGAUGUCUUUUAAUAGCAAAAACAAACACAUUACUUUUUUGGAAUCAUAACAAACCUAUAUUUUUCAAUGUUCAAUGCACUAAAAGGAAUUUUUACACUCAUUUGCAUAAUUAUGCACCUCAUUAAGUUUUUGUGUGCAAAGGGUUGAUUCUGACAACAUUCAGUGUAGACUGAUACUAGUGAAGACUGAUAUUAAUGUUUUUUUCUAUAUUUUUAUUUUUAAGUGUUAAUCAGGUGCUAUUUGUGGUGCAUUCUUAAUCAUUGUGAUCAGAUUUAAAUUGUGGGUUCCAUUAUUUGAUGAAUGUUAGUUAACUUGCAUUGAAGUUACUUAAAUAUUUAAUUUGUUUUCAUUAUCAGAGUAAGUGCAUGUCAUUUUUUUAAGGCAUCAGAAUUGAGACCAAAUAAAGAGAGAUGUUGCACAUUGGGAUAAUUUAUUUAUUUUUUAACUUUGCUAUGCAUUAAAAUUUUGCCUUCCAAAUUAAAUUAAACUUAAUCAUUUUAAAAAUGAAUUGUAUUAUUCAGGAGCAUAAUAUAGUUUUUUUUUUUUUAAUUUGUAUCUUUGGAAGUGUAACCUAGCACAAUACUAUGUUCUUUACUGCUAAGGACGGAUAUUAAACUAAACACUUUAAAAAGAUAAAUCAGGAGAAAAUAUAUAUUUAACAACUUCAUUAAUAACUAAAUAUCACAAUAAUUAUUAUCUGCAGUUUUUUUCACUUUUGGCAAUCUGAAGAAUUUAUUACCUUCUUUUCUAAAUAAUAUUAUUUAGGAAAUAUAUAAUGUGUCUGCAUGUAAUAAAGUGGAUCAACUUAUGUGUUUUAUAACAGAAUUCUACAUUUCCUGUGAACACUGUUUUUUCUAUGGAUAUCUUGAGGAAUAACAUGUUAUUUGUUCCAAAGUACUGCAGUGAGCCUUCCAAUAAAAUGUAGUAUUGAAAUACUUUUGAGUGUCCACUGCAUUUCACUUUUAUUAAAGUCAUGUUUCAAAGAUAAAAUUCGCAUUUUACAUUGACCAUCAACAUUGCAUUAAAGAUAUAAC